GUAAAUAUAGUUUAAAAAAAAACAUUAGAUUGUGAAUCUAACAAUAGAGAAUUAUAACCUCUUAUUUACC
rnacentral:tRNA from 1 species